rnacentral:rRNA from 4 species
GUCGAACGAACUCUGGUAUUGAUUGGUGCUUGCAUCAUGAUUUACAUUUGAGUGAGUGGCGAACUGGUGAGUAACACGUGGGAAACCUGCCCAGAAGCGGGGGAUAACACCUGGAAACAGAUGCUAAUACCGCAUAACAACUUGGACCGCAUGGUCCGAGUUUGAAAGAUGGCUUCGGCUAUCACUUUUGGAUGGUCCCGCGGCGUAUUAGCUAGAUGGUGGGGUAACGGCUCACCAUGGCAAUGAUACGUAGCCGACCUGAGAGGGUAAUCGGCCACAUUGGGACUGAGACACGGCCCAAACUCCUACGGGAGGCAGCAGUAGGGAAUCUUCCACAAUGGACGAAAGUCUGAUGGAGCAACGCCGCGUGAGUGAAGAAGGGUUUCGGCUCGUAAAACUCUGUUGUUAAAGAAGAACAUAUCUGAGAGUAACUGUUCAGGUAUUGACGGUAUUUAACCAGAAAGCCACGGCUAACUACGUGCCAGCAGCCGCGGUAAUACGUAGGUGGCAAGCGUUGUCCGGAUUUAUUGGGCGUAAAGCGAGCGCAGGCGGUUUUUUAAGUCUGAUGUGAAAGCCUUCGGCUCAACCGAAGAAGUGCAUCGGAAACUGGGAAACUUGAGUGCAGAAGAGGACAGUGGAACUCCAUGUGUAGCGGUGAAAUGCGUAGAUAUAUGGAAGAACACCAGUGGCGAAGGCGGCUGUCUGGUCUGUAACUGACGCUGAGGCUCGAAAGUAUGGGUAGCAAACAGGAUUAGAUACCCUGGUAGUCCAUACCGUAAACGAUGAAUGCUAAGUGUUGGAGGGUUUCCGCCCUUCAGUGCUGCAGCUAACGCAUUAAGCAUUCCGCCUGGGGAGUACGGCCGCAAGGCUGAAACUCAAAGGAAUUGACGGGGGCCCGCACAAGCGGUGGAGCAUGUGGUUUAAUUCGAAGCUACGCGAAGAACCUUACCAGGUCUUGACAUACUAUGCAAAUCUAAGAGAUUAGACGUUCCCUUCGGGGACAUGGAUACAGGUGGUGCAUGGUUGUCGUCAGCUCGUGUCGUGAGAUGUUGGGUUAAGUCCCGCAACGAGCGCAACCCUUAUUAUCAGUUGCCAGCAUUAAGUUGGGCACUCUGGUGAGACUGCCGGUGACAAACCGGAGGAAGGUGGGGAUGACGUCAAAUCAUCAUGCCCCUUAUGACCUGGGCUACACACGUGCUACAAUGGAUGGUACAACGAGUUGCGAACUCGCGAGAGUAAGCUAAUCUCUUAAAGCCAUUCUCAGUUCGGAUUGUAGGCUGCAACUCGCCUACAUGAAGUCGGAAUCGCUAGUAAUCGCGGAUCAGCAUGCCGCGGUGAAUACGUUCCCGGGCCUUGUACACACCGCCCGUCACACCAUGAGAGUUUGUAACACCCAAAGUCGGUGGGGUAACCUUUUAGGAACCAGCCGCCUAAGGUGGGACAGAUGAUUAGGG